rnacentral:rRNA from 1 species
UACGUAGGGGGCUAGCGUUGUCCGGAAUUACUGGGCGUAAAGUGUGCGCAGGCGGCCGAGCAAGUCGAGUGUGAAAGCCCCGAGCUUAACUUGGGAACUGCGCUCGAAACUACUUGGCUAGAGUGUGGCAGAGGGAGGUGGAAUUCCACGUGUAGCGGUGAAAUGCGUAGAGAUGUGGAGGAACACCGAUGGCGAAGGCAGCCUCCUGGGCCAACACUGACGCUCAUGCACGAAAGCGUGGGGAGCAAACAGG